rnacentral:rRNA from 1 species
GACGAACGCUGGCGGCGCGCCUAACACAUGCAAGUCGAACGAGCGAGAGGGAGCUUGCUUUCUCGAGCGAGUGGCGAACGGGUGAGUAACGCGUGAGGAACCUGCCUCAAAGAGGGGGACAACAGUUGGAAACGACUGCUAAUACCGCAUAAGCCCACGGUGCCGCAUGGCACAGAGGGAAAAGGAGCAAUCCGCUUUGAGAUGGCCUCGCGUCCGAUUAGCUAGUUGGUGAGGUAAUGGCCCACCAAGGCGACGAUCGGUAGCCGGACUGAGAGGUUGAACGGCCACAUUGGGACUGAGACACGGCCCAGACUCCUACGGGAGGCAGCAGUGGGGAAUAUUGCACAAUAGGGGAAACCCUGAUGCAGCGACGCCGCGUGGAGGAAGAAGGUCUUCGGAUUGUAAACUCCUGUUGUUGGGGAAGAUAAUGACGGUACCCAACAAGGAAGUGACGGCUAACUACGUG